rnacentral:rRNA from 1 species
UACAGAGGUCUCAAGCGUUGUUCGGAUUCAUUGGGCGUAAAGGGUGCGUAGGUGGCAUGGUAAGUCGGAUGUGAAAUCCCGGGGCUCAACCCCGGAACUGCAUUCGAUACUGCUGCGCUAGAGUACUGGAGAGGAGAUUGGAAUUUACGGUGUAGCAGUGAAAUGCGUAGAUAUCGUAAGGAACGCCAGUGGCGAAAGCGAGUCUCUGGGCAGCAUCUGACACUGAGGCACGAAGGCCAGGGGAGCAAACGGG